AAACUGGGUCUAAUACUGGAUAUGACCUCCUGUCGCAUGGUGGGGGGUGGAAAGGGUUUGUACUGGUUGUGGAUGGGCUCACGGCCUAUCAGCUUGUUGGUGGGGUAAUGGCCUACCAAGGCGACGACGGGUAGCCGGCCUGAGAGGGUGACCGGCCACACUGGGACUGAGACACGGCCCAGACUCCUACGGGAGGCAGCAGUGGGGAAUAUUGCACAAUGGGCGCAAGCCUGAUGCAGCGACGCCGCGUGAGGGAUGACGGCCUUCGGGUUGUAAACCUCUUUCAGCACGGAAGAAGCGAAAGUGACGGUACGUGCAGAAGAAGCGCCGGCUAACUACGUGCCAGCAGCCGCGGUAAUACGUAGGGCGCAAGCGUUGUCCGGAAUUAUUGGGCGUAAAGAGCUCGUAGGCGGUUUGUCGCGUCUGCUGUGAAAGCCCGGGGCUUAACCCCGGGUGUGCAGUGGGUACGGGCAGACUUGAGUGCAGUAGGGGAGACUGGAACUCCUGGUGUAGCGGUGAAAUGCGCAGAUAUCAGGAAGAACACCGAUGGCGAAGGCAGGUCUCUGGGCUGUUACUGACGCUGAGGAGCGAAAGCAUGGGGAGCGAACAGGAUUAGAUACCCUGGUAGUCCAUGCCGUAAACGUUGGGCACUAGGUGUGGGGGACAUUCCACGUUUUCCGCGCCGUAGCUAACGCAUUAAGUGCCCCGCCUGGGGAGUACGGCCGCAAGGCUAAAACUCAAAGGAAUUGACGGGGGCCCGCACAAGCGGCGGAGCAUGCGGAUUAAUUCGAUGCAACGCGAAGAACCUUACCAAGGCUUGACAUACACCGGAUCGGCUCAGAGAUGGGUUUUCCUCCUUGUGGGGCUGGUGUACAGGUGGUGCAUGGUUGUCGUCAGCUCGUGUCGUGAGAUGUUGGGUUAAGUCCCGCAACGAGCGCAACCCUCGUUCUAUGUUGCCAGCACGUGAUGGUGGGGACUCAUAGGAGACUGCCGGGGUCAACUCGGAGGAAGGUGGGGAUGACGUCAAAUCAUCAUGCCCCUUAUGUCUUGGGCUUCACGCAUGCUACAAUGGCCAGUACAAUGGGUUGCGAUACCGUGAGGUGGAGCUAAUCCCAAAAAGCUGGUCUCAGUUCGGAUCGUGGUCUGCAACUCGACCACGUGAAGUCGGAGUCGCUAGUAAUCGCAGAUCAGCAACGCUGCGGUGAAUACGU
rnacentral:rRNA from 1 species